CGUGGGAGGCACGUCUGAGGGGUUUGGUUUAAGCGGUUAGGCAAAUCCCAACCGAGUUUCCCGCUAAAUACAGCAACAUGUACCUUCCUCCAAUCGCCAUUUCAGGAACCCAUUGCAGGGAGUCUCCUCCUCCUCCCCCUCCUCCACCUCCCCUCCUCUGUCUUUCUUCGCUUUCAAUCUCUUUGUUCUGUGCCUCGCUUACAUUUUCAUUCACAUCCCAGGUUUUUGAGGCUACUACGAAUUGACGGGAAGCGAUGUUCUGCUGCGGAGGUGUGGAGGAGGAAAAUUAUGGCGCGCCUUCGAGUCAAUAUUCAGCCCCACCGAGGGGAAAUACGUAUGGUGGCAGCGAGAGAGGAGAGCCUAGGAGCUCUAAUGUUGUCAGAGGUGGACCUCCUCAGCAAAUAUUGCCUAUUGAAACACCAGUCAUUACACUGGAUGAACUAAACAGGUUAACAAGUAAUUUUGGUACGAAAUCUUUCAUCGGAGAAGGUUCUUACGGUCGGGUUUAUUAUGCGACGUUAAAGUGCGGUCAGGCUGCUGCAAUAAAGAAACUGGAUACCAGUUCUUCACCGGAGCCCGACAACGAUUUUGCAGCUCAGCUAUCAGUUGUUUCUAGGCUCAAGCAAGAGAACUUUUUGGAGUUAAUUGGGUAUUGUUUGGAGGCUAAUAAUCGAAUCUUGAUAUAUCCGUUUGCAAAAAUGGGUUCUUUGCACGAUAUAUUACAUGGAAGAAAAGGAGUACAAGGGGCUGAGCCUGGUCCAGUGCUUACUUGGAGCCAGAGAGUUAAAGUUGCCUUUGGUGCAGCCAAAGGCCUUGAGUAUCUACAUGAGAAGGUUCAGCCUUCCAUAGUUCAUCGUGAUAUCCGGUCGAGUAAUGUUCUUCUCUUCGACGACUUCCUUGCGAAGAUUGCUGAUUUCAACUUGACAAAUCAAUCGUCGGAUACAGCAGCACGACUUCAUUCAACUAGGGUCUUAGGAACAUUCGGUUACCAUGCUCCAGAGUAUGCUAUGACAGGACAGAUUACUCAAAAGAGUGACGUUUAUAGUUUUGGCGUAGUUCUUCUCGAACUUUUGACAGGACGAAAGCCAGUAGAUCACACGAUGCCUAAGGGACAACAGAGUCUUGUUACUUGGGCAACACCAAGAUUAAGUGAGGACAAGGUGAAACAGUGUGUAGAUCCCAAGCUAAACAACGAUUACCCACCAAAAGCGAUAGCAAAGUUGGCAGCAGUUGCAGCCUUGUGUGUUCAGUACGAGGCUGACUUCAGGCCAAACAUGACAAUUGUGGUUAAGGCUCUCCAGCCGCUUCUAAAUUCUUCAAAACCACCAGGACCUGAAGCUCAACCUCGUCCAUGAGAUAAUACACAUUUUAGUUAACAUACAGCCAGCACAGGCACAAGCACUAGUGCAAGCACAGUAAUCUCCCCUGUAACUUGUGAUCUUACUCAUCUAUUCUAAAAUUGAAAGGAAACUGUCAAGAUG